GGAAUCGGGAUUGCAGUGUACUUGUGCAGCUGCUACCUUUGGCACCUACAGAAAUAUUUCUUACCAAAUGGUGACCGAAGCAUCAGAACAGAUGCGCAAGAAAAACUGGGCAAUUUCAUCUUGGUUUCCGGUUCUUGGAAAGAUGAUAAACUCAAAUUCCGGUGAACAUGUAGGAGGCAAUUAUCUGCAGUCUAUCUCGAGUUGCUGCAGGGGUGAGUGGGUUCUCAGGGUAACCUGGGGGUCAGCUGGUCUGCUUCUGUCCCCUAGCGGUUGGCUCAGAAUCAUUGAUACACCUUAACCUUGCGCAGUGCUUGGCUUUCUGUACAGGAAAGGGGAGACCAUGGUCUCUAGAAACGAAGAAGAGGGAGUAUCUUUGCGUGGUGGCCCGCACCUUGUAAAAUUGGAGCUUCCAGAGUGUCUUUCAUUUUUCGUGUAGCUACCUAGUAACUACCUAGAGGCUGACCUAUAAAGAACUUCACCAACUCUUACUUUGCUUAAGUCUGGCCAUGCCCUCAAAAAAUAUCGUGGCUUCUUUAUUCUGCAUAUCUGAAAUAUUUGGCCGGAACAAGAAAAGGAGCUUUAGAAGCCUUAUUCACAGUAACCAAGACACGGAGGCAACCCAAAUGUCCACCUUCAGAUGAGCAGCUCCACAGAAUGUGAUAUAUCCAGACGCUGGAACGUUAUUCAGCCUUGGAAAAAAAGGAAGGAGAUUCUGAACGUGCCACAACAUGGACAAAGCUUGAGGACAUCAUGCGGAGUGACAUAAGCCAGUCACAAAGAGACAAAAAAAUCUUGUAUGAUUCUACUUACAUGAAGCAUCUAAAGUAAUCACACUCAGAAAGAGAAAUGAAACAAAAACAAAGUUAGAAUGGGUAUCAGGGGCUGCCAGCAGGUUGAGAGAGAGAGUUGGUUUAAUGGGCAGAGAGUUCCAGAUCUGCAAGAAGGAAAAGUUCUGGAGAUUGAAGGCACAGCAACACGAAUAUACUUAGCACUACUGAACCGUGUACUUGCCAACAGUUAACAUGAUAAGUUUUUUUUUAAAGAUUUUAUUUAUUUAAGAGAGACACACACAGAGAGA